GAUGAAGAACGUAGCGAAAUGCGAUAAGUAAUGUGAAUUGCAGAAUUCAGUGAAUCAUCGAAUCUUUGAACGCAUCUUGCGCUCCUUGGUAUUCUGAGGAGCAUGCCUGUUUGAGUGUCAUUAAAUUCUCAACUACACUGACUUUGAAUUGGUGUGGCUUGGAUUUGGGGGGAAAAUUGUUGUGGGCUUUUUGUAUAGUCUGCUCCCCUGAAAUUGAUUAGCGGUACCUUUGUGGAACUGUCUACAGGUGUGAUAAUUAUCUACAUCUUAUACAUCUGCUGGAAUGCUGCUUUCUAAACCUUACUUGUAUUGACAAUCUUGACCUCAAAUCAGGUAGGACUACCCGCUGAACUUAAGCAUAUCAAUAAGCGGAGGA
rnacentral:misc_RNA from 1 species